rnacentral:rRNA from 1 species
AGAUUAAGUUAUUAAGGGCGCACGGUGGAUGCCUUGGCACUAGAAGCCGAUGAAGGACGUUACUAACGACGAUAUGCUUUGGGGAGCUGUAAGUAAGCUUUGAUCCAGAGAUUUCCGAAUGGGGAAACCCAGCAUGAGUUAUGUCAUGUUAUCGAUAUGUGAAUACAUAGCAUAUCAGAAGGCACACCCGGAGAACUGAAACAUCUUAGUACCCGGAGGAAGAGAAAGAAAAUUCGAUUCCCUUAGUAGCGGCGAGCGAAACGGGAAGAGCCCAAACCAAAAAGCUUGCUUGUUGGGGUUGUAGGACACUCUAUACGGAGUUACAAAGGACGACAUUAGACGAAUCAUCUGGAAAGAUGAAUCAAAGAAGGUAAUAAUCCUGUAGUCGAAAAUGUUGUCUCUCUUGAGUGGAUCCUGAGUACGACGGAGCACGUGAAAUUCCGUCGGAAUCUGGGAGGACCAUCUCCUAAGGCUAAAUACUCUCUAGUGACCGAUAGUGAACCAGUACCGUGAGGGAAAGGUGAAAAGCACCCCGGAAGGGGAGUGAAAUAGAACCUGAAACCGUGUGCUUACAAGUAGUCAGAGCCCGUUAAUGGGUGAUGGCGUGCCUUUUGUAGAAUGAACCGGCGAGUUACGAUUUGAUGCAAGGUUAAGCAGUAAAUGUGGAGCCGUAGCGAAAGCGAGUCUGAAUAGGGCGUUUAGUAUUUGGUCGUAGACCCGAAACCAGGUGAUCUACCCUUGGUCAGGUUGAAGUUCAGGUAACACUGAAUGGAGGACCGAACCGACUUACGUUGAAAAGUGAGCGGAUGAACUGAGGGUAGCGGAGAAAUUCCAAUCGAACCUGGAGAUAGCUGGUUCUCUCCGAAAUAGCUUUAGGGCUAGCCUCAAGUGAUGAUUAUUGGAGGUAGAGCACUGUUUGGACG